CAGUCAGCUGUUGUGUUCGUCACUUGCACUGGUACGAUAGCUGGAUGGCAGCUUCGGCAUUCGUAACUGAUACGAUCGGUGCAUUCGUUACGUUUUUGAUAAAGAGGGAAUAUGAACAUGAAAUAAACGCGAGUGAACUUGUGCGGAGGAGGAAGUGGUUGUUCAAAAGGCGAUGUCUCCGCAUAUUAUCAACACAAUAUAUUCCACCAAAAACGUAUAUUUUGCACCCACCGAGAUCGCGCAGUGUGUGGAAGAAAGUGCGAAGUGAUCACUGGUGGAACGUAAUUCUAUUGCAUCAUUUUGGGGGAUCCGAGUGGCUUAAAAAUUUCUGCAUGAGGAAAGAAACAUUCCAAUAGCUUUGCUUCGAAUCAUCGAGUACAUUAUCACGCGCUGCGGAUUUUGUUCGUGAACCACUGCCACUAGAGAAGAGAGUGGCAAUAGCUCUUUAUAUAUUGGCAAGCUGUACAGAGUACAGAGCAGUUGCAAAUCAGUAUGGAGUGCAUGAAAGCUUUGUGCACGAGUGCUUGUAUUCGUUUAUUUAGGUUGUGAAUACUGCUUUGCUGACAAAAAUUAUGAAAAUGGCAGAUGCUGAGGAAGCAGAGAGAAUCAGUAGUGAGUUCUCCGAUAUGACAGGCUUCCCCCAGAUCGUAGGAGCAAUCGAUGGCACUCACAUUCCUGUGUUAGCUCCUCAGGGUGGAUAAUCAGAUUUUGUGAACAGGAAGGGAUGAUCAUCACAUGUUCUUCAGGCAUUUGUUGACUGUCAUAAUUGGUAGAUGAAUUUUUAGGAUCCUCAGUAUCAGCCAUACCGGAAAUGUUCAUGAAGCAUCAGUACUGAAGGAUUCACAGCUGUAUAAAAUGGCCAAUAGGCUGAUGCCAGAAGUACCAUGCACAAUCAAUGGGACUGUUGUGCCAAAAUUUUUGCUCGGAGAUGCAGCAUAUCCCCUACUGCCGUUCCCCACGAAACUGUACACAGGGACUGUAUCACCCGAAGAAGAAAGUUUUGGUGUUUGUUUGAG